UCAGGACGAACGCUGGCGGCGUGCUUAACACAUGCAAGUCGAACGAUGAAGCCUUCGGGUGGAUUAGUGGCGAACGGGUGAGUAACACGUGGGCAGUCUGCCCUGCACUCUGGGACAAGCCCUGGAAACGGGGUCUAAUACCGGAUAAUACUGUGCCCCUCAUGGGGGACGGUUGAAAGCUCCGGCGGUGCAGGAUGAGCCCGCGGCCUAUCAGCUUGUUGGUGGGGUAAUGGCCUACCAAGGCGACGACGGGUAGCCGGCCUGAGAGGGCGACCGGCCACACUGGGACUGAGACACGGCCCAGACUCCUACGGGAGGCAGCAGUGGGGAAUAUUGCACAAUGGGCGAAAGCCUGAUGCAGCGACGCCGCGUGAGGGAUGACGGCCUUCGGGUUGUAAACCUCUUUCAGCAGGGAAGAAGCGAAAGUGACGGUACCUGCAGAAGAAGCGCCGGCUAACUACGUGCCAGCAGCCGCGGUAAUACGUAGGGCGCAAGCGUUGUCCGGAAUUAUUGGGCGUAAAGAGCUCGUAGGCGGUCUGUCACGUCGGGUGUGAAAGCCCGGGGCUUAACCCCGGGUC
rnacentral:rRNA from 1 species